CGGUGUUCAACUGGCGUGUCCGCGGGACGUCCUGCCGGUGGGCUUAGCCCGCAAGGGCGGCCCAACUUCAAAUCCCAUCGCGGUGCUCUUCACUGAGUGUUGAGGUGGGCCGGCACGUUUACUUUUAACAAAUUAGAGUGCUUAAAGCAGGAUAAAACUUCGCCUGAAUACUGUUUGCAUAGAAUAAAGGAAUAGGACCUCGGUUCUAUUUUGUUGGUUUUCGGAACCCCGAGGUAAUGAUUAAUAGGAACGGAUGGGGGCAUUCGUAUUGCGACGUUAGAGUUGAAAUUCUUGGAUCGUCGCAAGACGGACGGACGAAAGAAUUUGUCAAAAACGCUUUCAUUGAUCAAGAACGAAAGUUAGAGGUUCGAAGGCGAUCAGAUACCGCCCUAGUUCUAACCAUAAACGAUGCCAGCUAGCGAUCCGUCGACGUUCCUCCGAUGAGUCGACGGGCAGCUUCCGGGAACCAAAGCUUUUGGGUUCCGGGGGAAGUAUGGUUGCAAAGCUGAAACUUAAAGGAAUUGACGGAAGGGCUCCACCAGGAGUGGAGCCUGCGGCUUAAUUUGACUCAACACGGGAAACCUCACCAGGCCCGGACACCGGAAGGAUUGACAGAUUGAGAGCUCUUUCUUGAUUCGGUGGGUGGUGGUGCAUGGCCGUUCUUAGUUGGUGGAGCGAUUUGUCUGGUUAAUUCCGAUAAUGAACGAGACUCUAGCCUGCUAACUAGGCGUAUUUUCGACAUCUCAAAGGUCCGUCGUCCCGGCCCUCGGGUCGUGGGCGUGCGCGAUUUUUACUGUCGGCGUACAAUCAAUUCUUCUUAGAGGGACAGGUGG
rnacentral:rRNA from 1 species